rnacentral:rRNA from 1 species
GACGAACCGUCCGAACGUUUAUCGGAAUCACUGGGCUUAAAGGGCGCGUAGGCGGGACCGUAAGUUCAGGGGUGAAAUCCCACGGCUCAACCGUGGAAGUCGCCUUUGAUACUGCGGGACCUCGAGGUGGGCAGGGGCGUGGCGGAACUUCCGGGUGGAGCGGGUGAAAGUGCGUAGACGUAUCGGAAGGAACGAACCGG